GUGAGGAAUAUUGGUCAAUGGACGAGAGUCUGAACCAGCCAAGUCGCGUGAAGGAAGACGGUUCUAUGAAUUGUAAACUUCUUUUGUGCAGGAAUAAAGUGGGUUACGUGUAACCUUUUGUAUGUACUGUACGAAUAAGGAUCGGCUAACUCCGUGCCAGCAGCCGCGGUAAUACGGAGGAUCCGAGCGUUAUCCGGAUUUAUUGGGUUUAAAGGGUGCGUAGGUGGAUUGAUAAGUCAGCGGUGAAAGUUUGCAGCUUAACUGUAAAAUUGCCGUUGAAACUGUCGGUCUUGAGUGCAAAUGAGUUAGUCGGAAUGUGUUGUGUAGCGGUGAAAUGCUUAGAUAUAACACAGAACUCCGAUUGCGAAGGCAGCUUACUGGGAUGCAACUGACACUGAAGCACGAAAGCGUGGGGAUCAAACAGGAUUAGAUACCCCAGUAGUCC
rnacentral:rRNA from 1 species